rnacentral:rRNA from 1 species
CGGGCGCUGCUUUACCUGCAAGUCGAACGGCAGCGGGGGCUUCGGCCUGCCGGCGAGUGGCGAACGGGUGAGUAAUGCAUCGGAACGUGCCCAGUCAUGGGGGAUAACUACGCGAAAGCGUAGCUAAUACCGCAUACGCCCUGAGGGGGAAAGUGGGGGAUCUUCGGACCUCACGUGAUUGGAGCGGCCGAUGUCAGAUUAGCUAGUUGGUGAGGUAAAGGCUCACCAAGGCGACGAUCUGUAGCGGGUCUGAGAGGAUGAUCCGCCACACUGGGACUGAGACACGGCCCAGACUCCUACGGGAGGCAGCAGUGGGGAAUUUUGGACAAUGGGCGCAAGCCUGAUCCAGCCAUGCCGCGUGAGUGAAGAAGGCCUUCGGGUUGUAAAGCUCUUUCGCAAGGGAAGAAAACGUGUGGGCUAAUAUCCUGCGCGGAUGACGGUACCUUGACAAGAAGCACCGGCUAACUACGUGCCAGCAGCCGCGGUAAUACGUAGGGUGCGAGCGUUAAUCGGAAUUACUGGGCGUAAAGCGUGCGCAGGCGGUUGUGUAAGACAGGUGUGAAAUCCCCGGGCUUAACCUGGGAACUGCGCUUGUGACUGCACGGCUAGAGUACGGCAGAGGGGGGUGGAAUUCCUGGUGUAGCAGUGAAAUGCGUAGAUAUCAGGAGGAACACCGAUGGCGAAGGCAGCCCCCUGGGCCUGUACUGACGCUCAUGCACGAAAGCGUGGGGAGCAAACAGGAUUAGAUACCCUGGUAGUCCACGCCCUAACGAUGUCAACUAGUUGUUCGUAGAGGUAACUCUGUGAGUACGCAGCUAAC